rnacentral:misc_RNA from 1 species
UGUGGAAACAUACAAACAGA